rnacentral:rRNA from 2 species
AGAGUUUGAUCAUGGCUCAGAUUGAACGCUGGCGGCAGGCCUAACACAUGCAAGUCGAGCGGUAGCACAGAGAGCUUGCUCUCGGGUGACGAGCGGCGGACGGGUGAGUAAUGUCUGGGAAACUGCCUGAUGGAGGGGGAUAACUACUGGAAACGGUAGCUAAUACCGCAUAAUGUCGCAAGACCAAAGUGGGGGACCUUCGGGCCUCAUGCCAUCAGAUGUGCCCAGAUGGGAUUAGCUAGUAGGUGGGGUAACGGCUCACCUAGGCGACGAUCCCUAGCUGGUCUGAGAGGAUGACCAGCCACACUGGAACUGAGACACGGUCCAGACUCCUACGGGAGGCAGCAGUGGGGAAUAUUGCACAAUGGGCGCAAGCCUGAUGCAGCCAUGCCGCGUGUGUGAAGAAGGCCUUCGGGUUGUAAAGCACUUUCAGCGGGGAGGAAGGCGUUAAGGUUAAUAACCUUGGCGAUUGACGUUACCCGCAGAAGAAGCACCGGCUAACUCCGUGCCAGCAGCCGCGGUAAUACGGAGGGUGCAAGCGUUAAUCGGAAUUACUGGGCGUAAAGCGCACGCAGGCGGUCUGUCAAGUCGGAUGUGAAAUCCCCGGGCUCAACCUGGGAACUGCAUUCGAAACUGGCAGGCUAGAGUCUUGUAGAGGGGGGUAGAAUUCCAGGUGUAGCGGUGAAAUGCGUAGAGAUCUGGAGGAAUACCGGUGGCGAAGGCGGCCCCCUGGACAAAGACUGACGCUCAGGUGCGAAAGCGUGGGGAGCAAACAGGAUUAGAUACCCUGGUAGUCCACGCCGUAAACGAUGUCGAUUUGGAGGUUGUGCCCUUGAGGCGUGGCUUCCGGAGCUAACGCGUUAAAUCGACCGCCUGGGGAGUACGGCCGCAAGGUUAAAACUCAAAUGAAUUGACGGGGGCCCGCACAAGCGGUGGAGCAUGUGGUUUAAUUCGAUGCAACGCGAAGAACCUUACCUGGUCUUGACAUCCACAGAACUUACCAGAGAUGCAUUGGUGCCUUCGGGAACUGUGAGACAGGUGCUGCAUGGCUGUCGUCAGCUCGUGUUGUGAAAUGUUGGGUUAAGUCCCGCAACGAGCGCAACCCUUAUCCUUUGUUGCCAGCGGUCCGGCCGGGAACUCAAAGGAGACUGCCAGUGAUAAACUGGAGGAAGGUGGGGAUGACGUCAAGUCAUCAUGGCCCUUACGACCAGGGCUACACACGUGCUACAAUGGCAUAUACAAAGAGAAGCGACCUCGCGAGAGCAAGCGGACCUCAUAAAGUAUGUCGUAGUCCGGAUUGGAGUCUGCAACUCGACUCCAUGAAGUCGGAAUCGCUAGUAAUCGUAGAUCAGAAUGCUACGGUGAAUACGUUCCCGGGCCUUGUACACACCGCCCGUCACACCAUGGGAGUGGGUUGCAAAAGAAGUAGGUAGCUUAACCUUCGGGAGGGCGCUUACCACUUUGUGAUUCAUGACUGGGGUGAAGUCGUAACAAGGUAACCGUAGGGGAACCUGCGGUUGGAUCACCU